rnacentral:tRNA from 1 species
AAUGAAGAGCCUGAUUAAAGGAUUAUCGUGAUAGGAUAAAACAUGUAGACUAAAUCUACCUUCAUUA